CUGACCGCUGACUCUUGGAUCUGCACAGCCCUUCCAAAGAAAGGGGCUCUGUGGGGUGAUUUGUCUGUGUUCAUCAGUGUGUGGUGAUGCUUGUUUCUGACCAGAAACCCAUUCUGUUUGGAUAGGAGGGCAUCUACUGAGUAAACCGGACCUCAGGCAGGCUGCUAUGUAAAAGUUUAAGGCCUGAAAAGCACACAGGAUAUCUACCUUGACGUUUCUUAUUCUGGCCAGGCACAAAACUGAUUGAGUCCUUGGAACCAGAUCAAAGGACCUCCACAGGAAUGCUGUGCUGAGAAGGCGGCUGACCUGGAGCACGCAGUGGCCCUGGGAACACUCUGUUUUCAGCUGGACGGACCUUGAAGCAUAUCUGCUCCAACAUUCUCAUCUUAGUGUCUCUCAUAUUCAUGCCUUCCUCCCGUUUGCUCUGAAGGUCCCCUUCUUCCCUGCGCCCAGGGAAAUAGUGGGAAUAUCCACCCUCUUUCCAGGGAAAAACUUACCUCUUCCAUAAGGCC